ACAGGGGGUUCAGAUUAGUGUAUAAUAAUAAACUAUUGUAUAUAAACUAAUCUCAUAUGGAGAGAUAACUAAAACACACUGAGGACUAGCCCUGUUAUAACAGCUCUCUCCACCCACACCCUGUGUACAUUGUGUGCGCGUGUAGUGUGUGUGUGUGGUGAGCGCAAUGCAGCAAUCCUCUUUAUCAGAAUCACAUUCUCGAUUCUUUUCCUAAAACCCAUUGACUCCUAAAUGCCAAGUGAAUCCGGUUAGAAGUAAACCAUUGUUUCUAUCCCACAUUGUUUAAACAUUGUACGCAUAUGAUUAUGGUAUAUGUGAUUCUGCUAAGCAGAGAGCCCCAGUAAGUAGCAGAGGGAAAAAUGUAGUUGCAAGGAGUUGUAAAAUGAGCUCUGGACCAGAGACACAAUGCUUUCUGAAUGGCCCCCUGUUUCCUUUAUAGUAACACGACUUAGUAAAAGUAGGACUCCAUGUAGGGAACUGAGGUGGUAUUUGAGACACAGCCCACAGUGAAGUGUUCUAACAAAGAGACACACCCACAGUGAAGUGUUCUAACAGAGACACACCCACAGUGAAGUGUUCUAACAAAGAGACACACCCACAGUGAAGUGUUCUAACAGAGACACACCCACAGUGAAGUGUUCUAACAGAGACACACCCACAGUGAAGUGUUCUAACAAAGAGACACAGUUUAGUUUUUUUAUUUUAUAUAUAUGUUAGUCAUAAGCUAUUACUUAUGGCAUCUUAUAUGCAUGUUAUCAGUUAUAACUUUUCUGUGAAAAACAUUUUAGUGCUCCUUAUGCUUUGUUUACAUUCAGCUUUUGAGUUUGAUCAUUAUAAACACAACACAUUUCAUUCUUAUUUAAUUCAUCAGCUACUUUUGUCUCAGAGAGCUAUAAUAUGAUGCCAUGUAUGAAAAACAUGCAUAUCAUGACGUGUAUUUAUUUGCUUGUUAUUCUGUACUGGAGAAUGUUGAUGGCAUUAUCAGCCCCUGACUGUGUGUUGGAGAGAAACGAGUCUGGUGGGUAGGGUUAAACCUGGUCCAGAAACUAGAGGUGAGAGAGACUGCACGGUGUGUGCGUGUUCGUAUGUAUAUAUUGUGUGUAAAUAGUGUUGAUUUUGUACGGUACAGGUGUGUGUGACUGUUUUGUACACAUGAUGAAAAGAUCAAAAGGACACUUUCAUAAGAGCCUUCCAUUGGCUCAAUGUCACACUAUACGGUGCAAUAAAGUGCUUUGAUUGGUGUGCUGUUA